rnacentral:rRNA from 1 species
UCGCAUCUGUGCAUGCAGCAUAUCAAUAAGCGGAGGAAAAGAAACUAACAAGGAUUCCCCUAGUAACGGCGAGUGAAGCGGGAAGAGCUCAAAUUUGAAAUCUUAAAGGGUUUCCCUUUACGAAUUGUAGUUUAAAGAAGUGUUUUCUGUUGAGGUUUUGGUAAAAGUUCUUUGGAAUAGGACAUCAUAGAGGGUGAGAAUCCCGUAUUUGACCUUUACUUUCAACUUUGUGAUACACUUUCAAAGAGUCGGAUUGUUUGGGAAUGCAGUCCAAAAUGGGUGGUAAAUUUCAUCUAAAGCUAAAUAUUGGCGAGAGACCGAUAGCGAACAAGUACCGUGAGGGAAAGAUGAAAAGAACUUUGAAAAGAGAGUUAAACAGUACGUGAAAUUGUCAAAAGGGAAGCGUUUGACACCAGUGUUGUUUUUCUGAAAAUCAAUUAAAGAACUGUUUAUGCUAAGUUGUUUAGACUUUAUCAGCUAUCUGUUUAGUUUUGAGCUUUUCUUUAAUGCACUUUUCAGUUAACAAGUCAACAUCAAUUUCUUUUGCUGUAAAAAAGCUUGAGGAAGGUGGCUUGAGAUUCGUCUUAAGUGUUUAUAGCCUCUUGCCUAUGCAGUCGGAGAGAUUGAGGUCUGCAGCGUAGAUCCUUCGGGGCUAAAUGCAUUUGUGCUAAGUUAUAACAUUUUAUAGACAACUUGUUGACUAUGAUUUGUCUUGUAGCUUACUCGCUUAUGUUAUUUUACCUACGCUUAGGAUGUUGAACGCGCACAGAGUCUC